rnacentral:rRNA from 1 species
GUGGGGAAUCUUGCGCAAUGGGCGAAAGCCUGACGCAGCCAUGCCGCGUGAAUGAUGAAGGUCUUAGGAUUGUAAAAUUCUUUCACCGGGGACGAUAAUGACGGUACCCGGAGAAGAAGCUCCGGCUAACUUCGUGCCAGCAGCCGCGGUAAUACGAAGGGGGCUAGCGUUGCUCGGAAUUACUGGGCGUAAAGGGCGCGUAGGCGGACAGCUUAGUCAGAGGUGAAAGCCCAGGGCUCAACCUUGGAAUUGCCUUUGAUACUGGCGGUCGUGAGUUUGGGAGAGGUGAGUGGAACUCCGAGUGUAGAGGUGAAAUUCGUAGAUAUUCGGAAGAACACCAGUGGCGAAGGCGACUCACUGGCCGAAUACUGACGCUGAGGCGCGAAAGCGUGGGGAGCAAACAGGAUUAGAUACCCGUGUAGUCC